rnacentral:misc_RNA from 1 species
CUUCCAUUCAUGCUGGAAACAACAGUGUUCAAUAAUAUAAUUGUUUACCCUUUUAAUCUGAUUUAGCAAUAUCAUUACUAUUCUGCUUCUCCAUGCCGACACCCGACUUUAUAUUUCUAUCCUUUUAACCCCAACAUUCAGAUGGUUUCGUCGGGAUACAUUCACUGAUGCUCAAAACUCCAGAAGCCACGCUUCAGAAAUUAAGCCUCUUCCGUACAACUAGACAAACAAUCCACAAGGAUUAGAACUUUACGAACAAGCUUAAAGCUGCACUACAAGACGUGAAAUGGACAAUGAACCUUUUCGUGGACACAUUCAAUGCACAUCAACUCCAACGUAAACAAUGCCAUCAGGUCACUCAGAACAAUACGAGCACUUCAUUUUCUUUUUUCGCAAAGCUAAAUUUCAGCCAGUGACAGCCAAUCCUCAACACCCAAAAUCCAGGUUCAAGCUCUAAAUUCAUUGCUUGAUUAAUAAGAAAAUCAACAUUUGCGUCUUGAGCUCAAAAUGAAAUAGAAAGGCUAGUCAUUUGUCAAUCACUAAGUUCAUUUUUAUCACAAAACAACAUAAUGAAAUAAUUAUAACGGCAGAUCCGAAUGCUGGACUUUUUGGCCCUGAACAAAGUAUUCUAACAGUGGCAGAAGUCUCAAAAUUCAUUCUGACAGAAUACUAAAUAAGAAGAAAAUAACAACUCUAAUAAGACUGACCUUAUAAAAAUCAACUGUUGAAAAGAAUUCUCAAAUAAACCUAGCACCUUGCAGCAAUCAGUUGCGAUGAUCAUUCCACAAUUAAGUUCAGACUUCUGACUAUCUACCCACAAAAAAUGAAAAAUGUUUGAUGGUUAAAACAGAACCAUAAAUAUUUCAUUAUUGUCUUAUGAUAAUAGACUUCAAUCGGUUAUGGUGAAGUUAAAUAAAUGUUGAGUUCAUCCAAUUCAUGCCUGCAAAUGAAGGAGAAAACAAAUUAUCAUACAGCAAAAAGUAAAAUAUCACAGCAAAGAAUACAAACCACCACACAUAUUAUCACACAAUAUUCAGUGAGCAACAUGCUAAGAUCGACUUUCUAAUUAUCGCUAUUGACAGGAGCCAUGAUCGUUGAGAUGAAUUAGCAUUUCAACAAAUAUGAAUGACACAGAUGGCAAAAGUGCAAUGCGAGGAAAAAUAUAUUAAAAGAAAAUACCAAAAAUAUUUGAAUGGGGUACAAUUAAUUUAAAAAAUAUACCUGUUGCUUUUUCUUCUUUGGCCUCCUCUUCCUUCGGGGCUUGUGAGCAUCAGAAUUAGAACUUAGAUUACUACUAUGACCUGUCCUUGUAUUUGAAGACCCCCCCGCCUUAGAAGAAGAUCCACUUCUGCUACUUGAUGUAUUGCUGGAUGUAGAAAUUUCAGACCUCUCCAUCCAUGAAUUUUUGCUUGAUGAUGCCCCAAACCUCAAUUGAGCAUGCACUGAAUUUGAAAGAGAGUUGCUAGAAGGCCGAGGAGGAGGCAUUAGAGCUCUAGCAGACAUCUGCCUCUGGUUCCUUUCAUCACUGGACAUACCAGAUGCUGCUUUGCCAGAAGUACUAGAAGCAUGUUCCCUGAAAAAUAAAUGAUAUUUAAAUAUGCACAUUUUAUGAUGUAAAACAAUUUACAGGCUCAUAAACAAAGAUGGUACAGAAACGGGCUAAUCACAUGUCAGCAUGUUUAAAAAUUCUCUGGACCUUAAUCUGUUAGUACAAGUGAUUAGUGAAAAGUGAAAACAAAGACCAAGUUUGAAUGCAGACCCAACAAUAAGAGGGGAAAAAAGGAAUUCUUGAAACCUCCAUCCUCAGCUCACAAUUGCAAGACAUACCUUGUACUUUUAUCAGUCCAUUCAUCGUCUGCGUCUGCUUCAUCACUUGAAGUUCCAGUUAAGAAGAAAUCAUCUUCACUCAAAUCCAAAAGCCCAUCAUCCUCACUACCUGUCUCUUCCAAAUCCUUCCCACUAGCUGCAGCAGCACUUAAGUUGGCUUUAAUCUGUUUACGCAAUCCAUUUCUCCUAUCAACUAUGUCCGAAUCAUCACCUCCAGUAAAUAAAGAUAGAUAUUUCUCAGUCUUGGGGAAAAACCUAACAUAUUCAAGAUCUUCUUUCAAUUUAGAAAGCUGUUCCGCAAUCUCUACAUCCUGCGCCUGACCAGAUGAAGCUCGUUGCACUUUCUCCAGGCGCCUAAUUCUUCUUUCUAUCUUUCUUCUCUCAAAAAACUUUAUCUUCCUAUCUUGCAAGAAUAUUUUGCGUUCCAAUGCCAGACGUGUAUGAAUCUCCUGUUGUUUCUGAAGUCCUUCUAACUUCUUUUCUUGCGCCUCUCUGACUUCUGGAGGAAGUUCCUUGCGGAGCAUACGCUCGAUAGAGCGAAUCUGGUUCUUAAGAGACACAGACUUGGGCUUUGACUUCUUCUCUACGCCUAUUCCCUUGGAUCGCCGCCCCAGAUGAGGCUUCCGUUCGGCGACCCUGCGCUUCCCGUAAGCACCAUGGGCCAUCCCUUCCUGAAUUCACUAUCAGGUGCUUUCCGCAGAUUAGCACCAGACACAGAAAAAGAUAAAAAGUAAAAGACAAUGUUUUGAUGCUAUGCCUGAGUGGCGAGUGAUGGUAAUAUUUAAGAUCCGCCUGUGUAGCCCUGGCGGAUGUAAAUUUUGAGUUCACCUCUCUCCCUUUUAUUCUGC